rnacentral:rRNA from 1 species
GACGAACGCUGGCGGCGUGCUUAACACAUGUAAGUCGAACGGAAAGGCCCUGCUUUUGUGGGGUGCUCGAGUGGCGAACGGGUGAGUAACACGUGAGUAACCUGCCCUUGACUUUGGGAUAACUUCAGGAAACUGGGGCUAAUACCGGAUAGGAGCUCCUGCUGCAUGGUGGGGGUUGGAAAGUUUCGGCGGUUGGGGAUGGACUCGCGGCUUAUCAGCUUGUUGGUGGGGUAGUGGCUUACCAAGGCUUUGACGGGUAGCCGGCCUGAGAGGGUGACCGGCCACAUUGGGACUGAGAUACGGCCCAGACUCCUACGGGAGGCAGCAGUGGGGAAUAUUGCACAAUGGGCGGAAGCCUGAUGCAGCAACGCCGCGUGCGGGAUGACGGCCUUCGGGUUGUAAACCGCUUUCGCCUGUGACGAGGCGUGAGUGACGGUAAUGGGUAAAGAAGCACCGGCUAACUACGUG